rnacentral:rRNA from 1 species
GACAAACGCUGGCGGCGUGCCUAAUACAUGCAAGUCGAACGACGAAAGCCUUCGGGCAAGUAAGAGUGGCGCACGGGCGUGGAACACGUAGAUAAUCUGCCCUUCAGUGGGGAAUAACUCUCCGAAAGGAGUGCUAAUACCGCAUAAGACCACAAGCUCUGCGGAGCAAGGGGUUAAAGGAUUUAUUCGCUGAAGGAUGAGUCUGCGUCCGAUUAGCUAGUUGGUGAGGUAAUGGCUUACCAAGGCAAUGUUCGGUAGAUGGUCUGAGAGGAUGAUCAUCCGCACUGGAACUGAGACACGGUCCAGACUCCUACGGGAGGCAGCAGUAGGGAAUAUUGCACAAUGGGGGAAACCCUGAUGCAGCAACGCCGCGUGAGUGAUGAAGGCUCUAGGGUCGUAAAGCUCUGUCGUAUGGGAAGAAAAAAAUGACGGUACCAUACAAGAAAGGACCGGCCAACUUCGUGCCAGCCGCCGCGGUAA